rnacentral:rRNA from 1 species
GAUGAACGCUAGCUACAGGCUUAACACAUGCAAGUCGAGGGGUAGCACGGAGGAAGCUUGCUUCCUUGGGUGACGACCGGCGCACGGGUGAGUAACGCGUAUCCGACCUACCCAUAACUCGGGCACAGCCGCUCGAAAGAGUGAUUGAUUCCCGAUAUGUCCUUGGAGUAGAUUCAAUGAUGAAAGAUUUAUCGGUUAUGGAUGGGGAUGCGUAAGAUUAGGUAGUAGGCGGGGUAACGGCCCACCUAGCCGACGAUCUUUAGGGGUUCUGAGAGGAAGGUCCCCCACACUGGUACUGAGACACGGACCAGACUCCUACGGGAGGCAGCAGUGAGGAAUAUUGGUCAAUGGGGCGGAAGCCUGGAACCAGCCAAGUAGCGUGAAGGAUUACAGCCCUACGGGUUUUAAACUCUUUUANAUAAGAGUAAUGUGCACUACGUGUAGUGUAUUGCAAGUAUUAUAUGAAUAAGCAUCGGCUAACUCCGUGCCAGCAGCCG